CGUUGUUACACCGGUUCUCGUACGAUCACAGAAGUUAAGCAACGUCGAGACAGGACAGUGCCUAGUAGGGUGAUAGCUUGGGAAUACAGGUGCUGCAAG